rnacentral:rRNA from 1 species
UUAGGACGAUUGAACCGUGCGACGAGAAAUCAUUCUUCGAGUGGAGGAUCGUGUGUGCGUAGAGUUUAACCACCUUCGUUGCGUGCGAUACCUGUGCUUCUGGGGGUAUUUUUUCGUAUGGUAGGUCAACAUCGAUUUUGGUUGCCAUAAAAUGGCCGGAGGAAUGUAGCUUCGAUCUUGUAUUGAAGUGUUAUACCUUUGGUAGAUGUGGUGAUUGGGAUCGAGGAUUGCAACGAAUACCCUUUUGGGCUAUCCGUCUGACCUCUGGAAGUCAUUUGGGUGCCGAAAGCUUGCUUACUUUAUUCAAAUUGGUGGUCAAAAGUAAACUGAUAUUUCUUAAUACUAA